GAUGAACGCUGGCGGCGUGCCUAAUACAUGCAAGUCGGGCGAACGGACGAGAAGCUUGCUUCUCUGAUGUUAGCGGCGGACGGGCGAGUAACACGUGGAUAACCUACCUAUAAGACUGGGAUAACUUCGGGAAACCGGAGCUAAUACCGGAUAAUAUUUUGAACCGCAUGGUUCAAAAGUGAAAGACGGUCUUGCUGUCACUUAUAGAUGGAUCCGCGCUGCAUUAGCUAGUUGGUAAGGUAACGGCUUACGAAGGCAACGAUGCAUAGCCGACCUGAGAGGGUGAUCGGCCACACUGGAACUGAGACACGGUCCAGACUCCUACGGGAGGCAGCAGUAGGGAAUCUUCCGCAAAGGGCGAAAGCCUGACGGAGCAACGCCGCGUGAGUGAUGAAGGUCUUCGGAUCGUAAAACUCUGUUAUUAGGGAAGAACAUAUGUGUAAGUAACUGUGCACAUCUUGACGGUACCUAAUCAGAAAGCCACGGCUAACUACGUG
rnacentral:rRNA from 1 species